AAAUUGAAGGUGAAGGUUGGAGUUGGGUGAGAAGAAUUAGACUUUAGGGGGCUGGAGCGGAGGCUACUGAAUCAUCCAGAUUGGAAACUGAAGUACAGGGGUGACUUGUCCAGCGCCACUCAAUGAUUCUGAGUCCAUCGAGAGGAAUCAUGUCUCAUAGAGCAAUAUGAUUGAACUCUCUCAAAGAAGAAAUAGAUUAGCUCCUGAGAACAGUUAUAAAGGAUCCAGUGCAUGGCAACUACUGAGCCAAGGACAGAGACAGAGAGAUUUAUUUAUUAGGAGAAAUUGGCUACAUAACUAUGGAGAUUGAGAAGUCUCACAGUCUGCCACCUGCAAGCUGCAAGCCAACAGUGUAGUUCCAGUCCAAGCAUGAAGGUCUAGUCCAAGGACAGGAGAAGACUGAUGUUCCAGCUCAACAGCCAGGCACAAAGAAUGAAUUCUCCCUUCCUCUGCCUUUUUGUUCUAUUCUGGCUUUCAGUGGAUUGGCUGAUACCCACCCACACUGGGGAAGAACACAAGCUGCUUUACUCAGACUAUUGAUUCAAAUGCUAGUCUCUUUGGGCAAUGCCCUCACAAACACAUCCAGAAAUAAUGUUUAAUCAAAUAUCUGGGCACCCUGUGACCCAGUCAAAUUGACACAUAAAAUUAACCAUCCCAAGUACCAAUGCAUGAAGCAUCUGAUUAGCACCAAGUAUCAGGGACCCAAAGAGGGGGAGGACCUUUGCUGCUGGCCAAUGUCCAGGUACUUCAGCUGUCAGCCCACAGACAUCUUUCUGGAUGGUUCCCAUUGCCUUGUUUUAGUUUGCUGAUGCUGAGGAGUGCUAGAUAAACUUAUCAUUUCAGACAAUCAAGAGAAAAUCAUUAAAGAAAAUAAUAA